UACUCGAGCGGCGAACGGGUGAGUAACACGUGAGCAACCUGCCCCAAGCUUUGGGAUAACCCUCGGAAACGGGGGCUAAUACCGAAUAGGACUUCCGGCCGCAUGGCUGGGGGUGGAAAGUUUUUCGGCUUGGGAUGGGCUCGCGGCCUAUCAGCUUGUUGGUGGGGUGAUGGCCUACCAAGGCGACGACGGGUAGCCGGCCUGAGAGGGCGACCGGCCACACUGGGACUGAGACACGGCCCAGACUCCUACGGGAGGCAGCAGUGGGGAAUAUUGCACAAUGGGCGGAAGCCUGAUGCAGCGACGCCGCGUGAGGGAUGACGGCCUUCGGGUUGUAAACCUCUUUCAGCAGGGACGAAGCGAGAGUGACGGUACCUGCAGAAGAAGCACCGGCCAACUACGUGCCAGCAGCCGCGGUAAGACGUAGGGUGCGAGCGUUGUCCGGAUUUAUUGGGCGUAAAGAGCUCGUAGGCGGCUUGUCGCGUCGACCGUGAAAACUUGGGGCUCAACCCCAAGCCUGCGGUCGAUACGGGCAGGCUAGAGUUCGGUAGGGGAGACUGGAAUUCCUGGUGUAGCGGUGAAAUGCGCAGAUAUCAGGAGGAACACCGGUGGCGAAGGCGGGUCUCUGGGCCGAUACUGACGCUGAGGAGCGAAAGCGUGGGGAGCGAACAGGAUUAGAUACCCUGGUAGUCCACGCUGUAAACGUUGGGCGCUAGGUGUGGGGGACCUCUCCGGUUUCCUGUGCCGCAGC
rnacentral:rRNA from 1 species